GCAUAUCAAUAAGCGGAGGAAAAGAAACCAACAGGGAUUGCCCCAGUAACGGCGAGUGAAGCGGCAAGAGCUCAAAUUUGAAAUCUGGCCUCCCCCGGGGGCCCGAGUUGUAAUUUGCAGAGGAUGCUUCGGGUGCGGCCGCCGUCUAAGUUCCUUGGAACAGGACGUCAGAGAGGGUGAGAAUCCCGUCUUGGGCGGGCGGUCCGCGCCCGUGUGAAGCUCCUUCGACGAGUCGAGUUGUUUGGGAAUGCAGCUCUAAGCGGGUGGUAAAUUUCAUCUAAAGCUAAAUAUUGGCCGGAGACCGAUAGCGCACAAGUAGAGUGAUCGAAAGGUUAAAAGCACCUUGAAAAGGGAGUUAAACAGCACGUGAAAUUGUUGAAAGGGAAGCGCUUGCGGCCAGACUCGGGGGCGGGGUUCAGCGGGUGCUCGUCGCCCGUGUAUUCCUCGUCUCCCGGGCCAGCAUCAGUUUCGACGGCCGGUCAAAGGCCCCCGGAAUGUGUCGUCUCUCGGGACGUCUUAUAGCCGGGGGUGCAAUGCGGCCCGUCGGGACUGAGGAACGCGCUCCGGCUCGGAUGCUGGCGUAAUGGCCGUAAGCGGCCCGUCUUGAAACACGGACC
rnacentral:rRNA from 3 species